rnacentral:rRNA from 1 species
GACGAACGCUGGCGGCGUGCUUAACACAUGCAAGUCGAACGGAAAGGCCCUGCUUUUGUGGGGUGCUCGAGUGGCGAACGGGUGAGUAACACGUGAGUAACCUGCCCUUGACUUUGGGAUAACUUCAGGAAACUGGGGCUAAUACCGGAUAGGAGCUCCUGCUGCAUGGUGGGGGUUGGAAAGUUUCGGCGGUUGGGGAUGGACUGGCGGCUUAUCAGCUUGUUGGUGGGGUAGUGGCUUACCAAGGCUUUGACGGGUAGCCGGCCUGAGAGGGUGACCGGCCACAUUGGGACUGAGAUACGGCCCAGACUCCUACGGGAGGCAGCAGUGGGGAAUAUUGCACAAUGGGCGGAAGCCUGAUGCAGCAACGCCGCGUGCGGGAUGAAGGCCUUCGGGUUGUAAACCGCUUUCGCCUGUGACGAAGCGUGAGUGACGGUAAUGGGUAAAGAAGCACCGGCUAACUACGUG